rnacentral:lncRNA from 1 species
GGCGACCCAGAGUGAGGAGGCGACCCAGGGCGAAGAGAUGAAUCGGAGCCAGGAGGUGACCCGGGACGAGGAGUCGACCCGGAGCGAGGAGGUGACCAGGGAGGAAAUGGCGGCAGCUGGGCUCACCGUGACUGUCACCCACAGCAAUGAGAAGCACGACCUUCAUGUUACCUCCCAGCAGGGCAGCAGUGAACCAGUUGUCCAAGACCUGGCCCAGGUUGUUGAAGAGGUCAUAGGGGUUCCACAGUCUUUUCAGAAACUCAUAUUUAAGGGUAAG